GCCAGCGGCAAAAUCGCCCGGAACGUGUCCUAUCUCAUCAGAUCUCAGAGGCUAAGCUGGUUUGAGCCUGGAUAAGUGCUUGGAUAGGUAACCACCGUGGAUAAACAGGUGUUGUAGGCG
rnacentral:rRNA from 1 species